rnacentral:rRNA from 1 species
AACGUAGGAGACAAACGUUAUCCGGAGUUACUGGGCGUAAAGGGCGUGUAGGCGGUUAGUUAAGUCUGGCGUGAAAGCUCUCGGCUAAACCGGGAGAGGUCGUUGGAUACUGGCUGACUGGAGGACGGUAGAGGCGUGUGGAAUUCCGGGUGUAGUGGUGAAAUGCGUAGAGAUCCGGAGGAACACCAGUGGCGAAGGCGACACGCUGGGCCGUACCUGACGCUAAAGCGCGACAGCAUGGGGAGCAAACGGG